rnacentral:tRNA from 1 species
GUGUCAGUGGCGUGGUGGCUAACGCACGACCCCGGCUAGGAGUGGGCGAGAUGCGGGUUCAAAUCCCGCCUGAGAUG